CUAAACCAUGCACCGAAGCUGCGGCAGCGACACUGUGUGUUGUUGGGUAGGGGAGCGUUCUGUAAGCCUGUGAAGGUGUGUCGUGAGGCAUGCUGGAGGUAUCAGAAGUGCGAAUGCUGACAUAAGUAACGAUAAAGCGGGUGAAAAGCCCGCUCGCCGGAAGACCAAGGGUUCCUGUCCAACGUUAAUCGGGGCAGGGUGAGUCGACCCCUAAGGCGAGGCCGAAAGGCGUAGUCGAUGGGAAACGGGUUAAUAUUCCCGUACUUGGUGUUACUGCGAAGGGGGGACGGAGAAGGCUAUGUUGGCCGGGCGACGGUUGUCCCGGUUUAAGCGUGUAGGUGUGUGUUCCAGGUAAAUCCGGUUCACUUUAACACUGAGGCGUGACGACGAGGCACUACGGUGCUGAAGCAACAAAUGCCCUGCUUCCAGGAAAAGCCUCUAAGCAUCAGGUAACAUCAAAUCGUACCCCAAACCGACACAGGUGGUCAGGUAGAGAAUACCAAGGCGCUUGAGAGAACUCGGGUGAAGGAACUAGGCAAAAUGGUGCCGUAACUUCGGGAGAAGGCACGCUGACACGUAGGUGAAGUGAUUUACUCAUGGAGCUGAAGUCAGUCGAAGAUACCAGCUGGCUGCAACUGUUUAUUAAAAACACAGCACUGUGCAAACACGAAAGUGGACGUAUACGGUGUGACGCCUGCCCGGUGCCGGAAGGUUAAUUGAUGGGGUCAGCGCAAGCGAAGCUCCUGAUCGAAGCCCCGGUAAACGGCGGCCGUAACUAUAACGGUCCUAAGGUAGCGAAAUUCCUUGUCGGGUAAGUUCCGACCUGCACGAAUGGCGUAAUGAUGGCCAGGCUGUCUCCACCCGAGACUCAGUGAAAUUGAACUCGCUGUGAAGAUGCAGUGUACCCGCGGCAAGACGGAAAGACCCCGUGAACCUUUACUAUAGCUUGACACUGAACAUUGAGCCUUGAUGUGUAGGAUAGGUGGGAGGCUUUGAAGUGUGGACGCCAGUCUGCAUGGAGCCGACCUUGAAAUACCACCCUUUAAUGUUUGAUGUUCUAACGUGGACCCGUUACCCGGGUUGCGGACAGUGUCUGGUGGGUAGUUUGACUGGGGCGGUCUCCUCCUAAAGAGUAACGGAGGAGCACGAAGGUUGGCUAAUCCUGGUCGGACAUCAGGAGGUUAGUGCAAUGGCAUAAGCCAGCUUGACUGCGAGCGUGACGGCGCGAGCAGGUGCGAAAGCAGGUCAUAGUGAUCCGGUGGUUCUGAAUGGAAGGGCCAUCGCUCAACGGAUAAAAGGUACUCCGGGGAUAACAGGCUGAUACCGCCCAAGAGUUCAUAUCGACGGCGGUGUUUGGCACCUCGAUGUCGGCUCAUCACAUCCUGGGGCUGAAGUAGGUCCCAAGGGUAUGGCUGUUCGCCAUUUAAAGUGGUACGCGAGCUGGGUUUAGAACGUCGUG
rnacentral:rRNA from 1 species